CAGCAGCCGCGGGAAUACGGAGGGGGCUAGCGUUGUUCGGAAUUACCGGGCGUAAAGCGCACGUAGGCGGCUUGGUAAGUUAGAGGUGAAAGCCUGGAGCUCAACUCCAGAAUUGCCUUUAAGACUGCCGAGCUAGCAGGUGAGAGAGGUAAGUGGAAUUCCGAGUGUAGAGGUGAAAUUCGUAGAUAUUCGGAAGAACACCAGUGGCGAAGGCGGCUUACUGGCUCAUACUGGACGCUGAGGUGCGAAAGCGUGGGGAGCAAACAGGAUUAGAGACCCCCGUAGUCCCUGUCUCUUAUAC
rnacentral:rRNA from 1 species